GACGAACGCUGGCGGCGUGCCUAAUACAUGCAAGUCGAACGCAGUGGGGACGGGUGAGUAACCCGUGGGUAACCUCCCAUCAGAGGGGAUAACACUUGGACACAGGCGCUAUAACGACAUUGAUGGAUGGACCCGCGGUGCAUUAGCUAGUUGGUGAGGUAAAGGCUCACCAAGGCCACGAUGCGUAGCCGGCCUGAGAGGGUGAUCGGCCACACUGGGACUGAGACACGGCCCAGACUCCUACGGGAGGCAGCAGUGGGGAAUCUUCGGCAAUGGACGAAAGUCUGACCAAGCAACGCCGCGUGAGUGAAGAAGGUUUUCGGAUCGUAAAGCUCUGUUGUUAGAGAAGCGGUAUCUAACCAGAAAGCCACGGCUAACUACGUGCCAGCAGCCGCGGUAAUAC
rnacentral:rRNA from 1 species